AUAUACUCAGGAGCCAAAUAACCCGAAUUUCCUUUCAAAUUAUAGAUAGUGGGAAUAUAAGAAUCUGAAAGGUCCACAUUCUCUUUGGCUAAUCCAUAAUCUGAAAUCUGAAAAAAUAAAAUAAAAAAUAAAAAGAAAAUUGAUACAAGAAGUCUAAUUUAAAUAAUUUUAUGUUUCAAAUUGAGUUCAUACUUGUUAAUAAUACCUAUAAUUUAAAUUUAUGAUAGCACUAAGUUGUCGUAAGUCAAUCAGUGGUGGGGCUUGGCCAUAUUUUUUUUCAUGUUUGACUGAAAGUAAACUCAAACUCAAUGUAAUCAUAAUUGAUUAAGUUACAUAAUCCAAUUAAAAUUUUAAAGAUUAGAGUUUAGAUUCAAUUGGGGAUUUAUUAGAAAUAUUAUUUUGGAAGGAGUAGCUGAGCUCCAAGCUACACCCAUGCCAGAAGGCACAACCCAAUACACCCAAGCCUAAAGAGUAGCAGCCUCCUUUACAAAAAUAAGAUACAUAUUGAAAGACCAAAAGCUCAUAACAAAUAACCUAAACUUUGAAAAGCGAAAUAGAGCAGAUAAUUCAUGGAGACAAACUAAAUCUAACCAAAGGAUCAAAUCAAAUUAAGAAACCAAAAAGCACAAAGAGGGGAGAGCCAAAUGCGAAGAGAAUAAGAGAAAAACAAGAGAUUCAAGAAUGGUUUCAAAAGUUGCAUACAUAUGUUAGAGAUAUGUGUUUAGUGUUUAUAAACAUUCACAUUAUCCUUCAUCUGAAAGUCUGAAACAAAAUUAAUGCACAAAAGCAUCAUUCUAUUGUGCUUAUUCUUUAUCUAGACUAAGGCUAGGUUUCGUGAAGAAAAUAAAUCAACCUUAAGGUUGCAAUUAGCUGAGUUCUAUUCAAAUUUUAAACUGAAAAAAUUGGGUUAUCUCAGCUCAAUAAUAAAUAAUAUCUAAUAAUUACCCCCUUUUCUAUUUCAAGGACUCUACUUCAAACCUUAAAAGGUAGAUCAUGAACAUUUUCUAGGGAUUAUACAAGAUAAAAUUAUAAAAAAAAAAAAUUCCAAUAAUUUGGGAGAUAUUAAAGAAAAAACUACAUCUACAGAUAUAGAGAUUAACAAAAAUUAUAAGAGCAUGCAUAGAGUUUUAUCCCUCAUAAAUCUUACCUUUGGUUCGAAGCUAUUAGUAAG
rnacentral:misc_RNA from 1 species